GGAUAUGAUGAUAAUUUUUGUCGCCCCAGUCUUAAUUUGCAUCAUUUGAUGCAAGAUGGUGACUGACAUUGUAUCUGAUCC